rnacentral:lncRNA from 1 species
CACCGGCCUUCCUCCCUCUCCUUUCCUCUUGAUUUCUUCCGUUGAAGCCGUGACCUCUCGUACUCAUGCUCGUCGAAAAUUGGAGCCGACGACGCUGCUGAAGCUUGAGGUAAGCCUUUCUCCUCCUUCCUCUCUUCCUUCCCCUCCUUUCCAUGGCUUCGUGCACCCUCGCCGGCCAUCGGGUUCGUCGAAAAAUCUACAAAACCAUAAAGCUCUGUUUUUGCUUUGUUUGAUCGAGCCUUUUCUUCUUUAAUUCUAGCCACCGAUGCUACUGCUCGUGGUGCCGCACCCCUAUAGCGUGACCCCCACCUCCCUAACUUUCUUCUCCGAAGGUCAUGGCUGCUGGC